UACGUAGGGUGCAAGCGUUGUCCGGAAUCAUUGGGCGUAAAGAGUGUGUAGGCGGCCCGGUAAGUCCGCUGUGAAAGUCCAGGGCUCAACCCUGGGAUGCCGGUGGAUACUGUCGGGCUCGAGUCCGGAAGAGGAGUGUGGAAUUCCUGGUGUAGCGGUGAAAUGCGCAGAUAUCAGGAGGAACACCAAUGGCGAAGGCAGCACUCUGGGACGUGACUGACGCUGAGACGCGAAAGCGUGGGGAGCAAACAGG
rnacentral:rRNA from 1 species